rnacentral:rRNA from 1 species
CCUACGGGAGGCAGCAGUGGGGAAUAUUGCACAAUGGGGGAAACCCUGAUGCAGCAACGCCGCGUGAGUGAUGACGGCCUUCGGGUUGUAAAGCUCGGUCUUCAGGGACGAUAAGGACGGUAACGGAGGAGGAAGCACCGGCUAACUAGGUGCCAGCAGCCGCGGUAAUACGUAGGUGGCGGGCGUUGUCCGGAUUUACUGGGCGUAAAGGGGGCGUAGGCGGACUUUUAAGUGAGAUGUGAAAUACUCGGGCUCAACUUGAGUGCUGCAUUUCAAACUGGAAGUCUAGAGUGCAGGAGAGGAGAAUGGAAUUCCUAGUGUAGCGGUGAAAUGCGUAGAGAUUAGGAAGAACACCAGUGGCGAAGGCGAUUCUCUGGACUGUAACUGACGCUGAGGCUCGAAAGCGUGGGGAGCAAACAGGAUUAGAUACCCCGGUAGUC